rnacentral:rRNA from 1 species
UACGUAGGGUGCAAGCGUUGUCCGGAAUUAUUGGGCGUAAAGGGCUCGUAGGCGGCCAACUAAGUCCGACGUGAAAUCCCCAGGCUUAACCUGGGAACUGCGUCGGAUACUGGAUGGCUUGAAUUCGGGAGAGGGAUGCAGAAUUCCAGGUGUAGCGGUGAAAUGCGUAGAUAUCUGGAGGAAUACCGGUGGCGAAGGCGGCAUCCUGGACCGACAUUGACGCUGAUGAGCGAAAGCUAGGGGAGCAAACGGG